rnacentral:rRNA from 1 species
GACGUAGGGCGCGAGCGUUGUCCGGAUUUAUUGGGCGUAAAGAGCUCGUAGGCGGUGUGUCGCGUCGGCCGUGAAAACCUGCAGCUCAACUGUGGGCUUGCGGUCGAUACGGGCAUCACUGGAGUUCGGCAGGGGAGACUGGAAUUCCUGGUGUAGCGGUGAAAUGCGCAGAUAUCAAGAGGAACACCUGAGGUGAAGACAGGUCUCUGGGCCGAUACUGACGCUGAGGAGCGAAAGCGUGGGGAGCGAACAGG